AGUGGGAGCUUCGGCGCAA
rnacentral:snRNA from 1 species